CGGCGUUGAGCAACUCCGCAACUGCUCCCACUCACCGACGGCCGCUGGUCGGCCACCUUCCGCCGGACCGACGCGACGGCGGGAAUUGGCGGCGGUGGCUGGUCGGCCACCAGCUGUCAUGUCGGAGGCGAGAGAGCUGGCUGAGGCUGUCGAGGAGCUCAACGCCCAGCUGGUGAGGUUCCAAGACAAUCUGCAGAAGGUCACCGAGUUCCAGGUCUCUCUCCUCCGUGUCAACAAACUGAUGUGUUUCUGGAUGGAAAAUACACACGGGUUAAUAAAACAUCGCACACUGAUGAGGCAACCACUGCCUACCCUGAAUCAGCCCAGGAAAUGAUUCUCCGAUGUAUUCUGGGGCUCUCUCCCGUCCAGACCUUCCGGCUGGUCCCGUCUGAGGACUGUAACUCUUUUUAUUCUCUCGAUGCUGUUUUCCCAAGCAUUGGAUUCUCCACUGGGAGGGGUACACCAGCCGGUCCCUCCUAAGCCGUGACAGGUGGGAGACACACUGCUUCCCCUGUGCACUCUGCCAAAGCACUGGCAAACAUGGAGAAACAUCACCGGACUUGUGAAGCUGUGGACAAAACCAGCUGAAACUGAACCCCCCCAAACAGCUCAUCGUACUUGCAGGCUUCCUUUUGACCUGAUGUUGAGUGUCUAUUUGUCAGUUCUCUCUUACUACUUAAAUAAACGGAGUGAUAUCGCUUUCUGUCUGCCGCAGCCCUGUUGACUG